ensembl:lncRNA
CUCAGAAAGAGGUGAAAUGAUCUAAAGAGAAAUAUUUAUUUAGAUUUCUUAAUAAAAGAGAGUCAAUGUUAAACUUUUUCUAAAAAAUUCUACAAAGUCCUUAUCAAGAUCAAUGCAGUCCUCAAAUUUUUUCCUUCUAAUGGUCUUAACUUCUUUUGGCUCAAUUUAACUUUGUUUCACAGACAUUUGGAUCAGAGCAGACUAUGUUAUACACUAUGCAAGCAACCAUUCUUCAUGAUCAUCAACCGUGUUCCUAUGUGGGAAUCUACAUGUACAAUUCAGAAAACUAUGGAACUAUUUAGGGCACCUCCAGCAAUGAAGCAGGUGACUUCCACCUCGGGUUCUCUGCUUACUCCUUGAAGCAUUGAAGGCUUGUGAAUGGCAUCCAUCCAAGCAAGAAACCAGUAGGUCGCCACGGAAACGACUGUGCAAAGGGAGCCCAAACCGAAGAAGGACAGUGUGGUUUUCUGGACUCUGUUUUUCUGAUAAAGGAACCGUGAGGACCAAUCAGCUCUUGCAGGUCCAAAACCAUGGCCCAGGCCAUUCCAUUUCUAAGCCAGACAUAAUUGUGUUAUUGGAAGAAGGAAGAAACCCCUGGAUGGUUGUGAGAAUAGAAACAAGAAGCUGGAAUACAGAUUUGGAUUCAAGUUAUAAAAUAACCAGCGAUAGAAAAACGUUUGUAUCUGGGAAACAUUCAUCUCUUUUUCUGCAUCAGAUCAUUCAUGGUGGUGAGAAACUCUAUGAAGAACGUGGGAAAGCUUUUUGUUGUGCCCCACACCUUGCUCAACAUGGAAGAGUUCAUUAUGGAGCAGACUGCCAGGACUCCAAGAUGGCGUCAGUUUUACCACUGAAGAAAAAGAAACUCCUGGAUGUCAAAUUAAGGGAGCUGCCAAGCUGGAUACUAAUGUGAGAUUUCAUCCCUAAAGGCAUUGCUGGAGCGUUUCAAAGAGGUUAUUGCCAGUAUUACAACAAGUUAAACAUGAAGAAAGGGAGUGUCGCUGGGCUUUCUGUGGUGCUGGCAGCUUACAUGCUUAUCAACUGUUGCCAUUCUUACAAGGAGCUUUAUGGCUGUCAUCAGUUCUUUUCCUCCUUCUACGCGCAUGUGACACCUCCAUCUAGGGAUGGAGUCUGUUCCUUCACCACCCAGAAUCCGGGGUCUCCCCCUGGGUGCUUCAGCCAAUAGAAUAUGAUGGAAACGAUAUGGUGUCAGUUUUGGAACUGGCUUUUGUUAAGGACUGAAAGUUUCCAUGUCCUAUCUCUUGGAGCCCUGAACUGCCAUAUCAGAAGUGCAAGAUACUUUGCUAAACAAAAAGACCUCUUGGAGGAGCUCAGAAAUGCCACACAUGUGAUAAGAAGCCAUCUUGUUUUGUGAUAAGAAGCCAUUUUGGUUCCACUCAGCCCAGUUGAACUUCCACAUGACUCUAAUUCAGCAGCUCUACAACUACAACUGCCGAGGGACCCCAAGUGAAGUCUGCCCAGAUGAGCUCAGUCAACUCACAAAACUAGGAGAGGUGGCGUGGUGGUAGAGAAUCUGCCUGCCAAUGCAGGCGCUGCAAGAGAUGCGGUUGCAGUCCCUGGGUGAGGAAGAUCCCCCGGAAGAGGAAAUGAAAGCCCCCUCCAGCAUUCUUGCCAGAAAUGACUACGUGACUGAGCAGGAGUACAAUGUCUUCUAGGUUUAUC